GACGAACGCUGGCGGCGUGCUUAACACAUGCAAGUCGAGCGGAAAGGCCACUUCGGUGGUACUCGAGCGGCGAACGGGUGAGUAACACGUGAGUAAUCUGCCCCUGGCUUUGGGAUAGCCACCGGAAACGGGGAUUAAUACCGGAUUUGACCACUUUACGCAUGUUUGGUGGUGGAAAGUUUUUCGGCCAGGGAUGUGCUCGCGGCCUAUCAGCUUGAUGGGGAGGUAAUGGCUCACCAUGGCUUCGACGGGUAGCCGGCCUGAGAGGGUGACCGGUAACACUGGGACUGAGACACGGCCCAGACUCCUACGGGAGGCAGCAGUGGGGAAUAUUGGACAAUGGGCGGAAGCCUGAUCCAGCAACGCCGCGUGAGGGAUGACGGCCUUCGGGUUUUAAACCUCUCUCGCCUGUGACGAAGCGCAAGUGACGGUAACAGGUAAAGAAGCACCGGCCAACUACGUGCCAGCAGCCGCCGUAA
rnacentral:rRNA from 1 species